rnacentral:misc_RNA from 1 species
GAUGAAGAACGUAGCGAAAUGCGAUAAGUAAUGUGAAUUGCAGAAUUCAGUGAAUCAUCGAAUCUUUGAACGCACCUUGCGCCCCUUGGUUAUUCCAAAGGGCAUGCCUGUUUGAGUAUCAUGAACACCUCAACUCUUGUGGUUUCCCACAAUGAGCUUGGACUGUGGAGGUUUUGUUGGCCCUGUGGUCAGCUCCUCUCAAAUGGAUCAGCUUACCGGUGUUUGGUGGCAUUACGGGUGUGAUAACUAUCAACGCUCGUGGUCGUCUCCAAAUAACCUCCAGUGAUGGAGGUUCGCUGGAGCUUAUAAAUGUCUCUCCCCAGUGAAGACAGCCUUUGAACGUUCGAUCUCAAAUCAGGUAGGACUACCCGCUGAACUUAAGCAUAUCAAUAAGCGGAGGA